rnacentral:snRNA from 1 species
GGACGUGAAGGCGAUCUGCCUACAUCAUCUGUCACCUCAUUGAUCACCAGUGUUGAUUUGGCUGAUCUGGCUGGCUAGGCGGGUGUCCCCUUCCUCCCUCACCACUCCAUGUGUGUCUCUCCCAAAGCUGAGUGCUCAGUGGAAGGGGAGGAACAUCCCUGAUAGAGUAGGGCCAGUCUUUGGUCAAGGGUAUAUGAGUAGCUGCGUUCCCCUGCGAGAACCUCCGAACAAGCUCUCAAAAAACAGUGUGCUGGCUUUGGCCCAUAUCUUUGCUUGCAAGCCUGUUUUUAGAU